CCAAGCCAUUCUAUGAUUCUGUGAGGAUGGUCACAGCUGCUACUAUAUCAUCUCAUGCUUCCCAUUGAGAUGUAAUUCUCAGAAAGCAUCUCAAACAACAGAUCACUGAAUACUUAAUUUGGUUAAAUAUAUAUAUAUAUCAGGAGUGACAUUCUUCCAGUUCCAUGUCAGUUGAGCAGGUAUAGUGAAACUAGGUAUAGUUCUGUUUACUUUUAAAAGGCUUUUCUAUCAUCAUACACAGCCUUGGUGUCAGUGUGGUGUUGUAACAAGAUAACUGACAAGACCACAUGCAUCAAUUUUCUACCAGUUAUCUCUGCCCUCGGAUGCCUUGUCAUUUUACUUUAUACAAACUGACUAUUUGAGGCAGCAGUAGAAGACUUCUUCAUGCUCCGUUGAUGAAUAAUGAAGCCUUCUCCUCAACCAUCAUGUAUCAUGCUUCACAGAAGCUUAAUUAGCUCAUCUGAGAUAGCCUGGCAGAAUUCAAAAGUUGUUGCCAACACUGAGCUUCUUCAACUGAGCUCCUCAAGGGACAACCCUUGGAGGUGAAGAUGGGGACAUUCAUCUGUUACUAUGGAGACAAGCAGAGUCAGCAUUCAAUCCUGUCCCAUUGGUGCACAGUGACAUUUCUGAGUCUCUAUGGUAACAGUGGAGUUUCUGGCACAUCUGACCUUCUCCAGGGUGAAAGAGCAGCCCUCCAGCACAGAGAUGCAAGAACUGAGAUGCACACAUUAUUUCAGAAGUAGUUGCCCAGAAAAAGUGGCUGAGUGUAAUCGCAGCCAGGAAUUACAGCUCAUUCUGAAAGAAUUGAGAUGCCUCCUGCAAUUACAGUUGCAGAGAAUUAGUAAAAGGGAGAAAAUUCUAGCAUACAAACAAGCAUGCACUGAACAUGCUUGCAACUGCAUGUACCCAGCAUUCUGAAGACUGCAAUAGGUGAGUCAAGCUCCAGUAGCUGCAGAACACAACUGAAAGUCGUUUGGAGAAGAAAAAUGCAGAAGCAGGAGAGUUACAGCUAGCCUCUAGAUCAAAGCCAUGACAACUCUCUUCUAGAUACUAUUGAUAUAAUAAAUAUUUCUUUGCUUUUGAUUUGCUAUUUCUC
rnacentral:lncRNA from 1 species